AUAAAAAAAACCUUGCGGAACCGUUCCGCAAGGUCCUUUCCAGUUUCUUGCCUCCGCGUAGGGCGGAACAAGAAACGGAAAGAAUAAAGAAAAGGGAGAGGAGAAACCGGAGGAAGAACUUAUGGGGAAACGUAAGUCUUCUCCGUCA
rfam:Geobacillus sp. B4113_201601 NODE_525, whole genome shotgun sequence.